GCUUCGAUCGUCCAACGGUUAGGGCGCGGGUCUCAUAUGCAAAAGCAUGAGUUUCGAUAGAAACGGAAUCCCGAAAUCUGAGUUCGAUUCUCAGUCGAGGCA
rfam:Kwoniella heveanensis BCC8398 unplaced genomic scaffold supercont1.11, whole genome shotgun sequence.